rnacentral:sRNA from 1 species
CCCACCCCCCUUCCAAACUUAUGAGAAUCGGUCACCGAGAAGUCUACCGGGGUAAUUGUUGGGUUGCUUGACAGUGUUGAGUUGCUUUGUUUAUAAUUUUUCUGCCCAGCAGCUGUAAUCUUUGAAUUUACGAGUAUUUUUUUCUUCUUUUUUUUGUCAGGGAAUUUUGUGUGUUUGUUAACUUAUGAGAAUGAAUUGUAACAAAACAAAAAAAACAAGACGUAAACAUGGUGAUACAGUAAAUCUUAAAAAGUGCUUUGAAUGUAUUAAAUAAGCCAGACAGAAUAAAUUACUCUUCGUGGAUUAAUUAAUUUUUUUUUCCUUCAGAGAAUUAAUUUUUUGAUGUGGGUGUUUUUUACCACAACCCACCAGUUACAAGUUUAUUGUUUAUAUGUAUUUAUUAAUUAAGGAAGACCAUUGUAAGAUUCAUCUAUUGUAUGUCACACACAGGGAUGCAACACCAGUCUGAAGUGGGAACAAGAUAUGUCAUCUUUGUCUUGUAUCCAUUCAUCUCUUCUUUUUUUUCAGUUUAUAUUUUUAAACGGUUUAAACUAGCUUAAGUCUGUGAUAUUCCAUGGUUUUAUUAUUUGUACCAAUAAAAAAUACUUGCUUUU